UUAUAGCGCUGAAGAUGCUGAGAUGGAGCUCAUAAGCUCCUUUAAACACAAAGGCUUGGUCCCGACCUUACAAUCAAUUACUACUUAACUUACACAUGCAAGUCUCCGCACCCCCGUGAAAACGCCCUAAACCCCUUAUACUAGGAAAAGGAGCCGGCAUCAGGCACAAUAAUCUGCCCAAGACGCCUAGCAACGCCACACCCACAAGGGUCCUCAGCAGUGAUAAACAUUGAAAAUAAGUGUCAACUUGAUUCAGUCAAAGUUAUUAGAGUCGGCAAAUCUGGUGCCAGCCGCCGCGGUUACACCACAGACUCAAAUUGAUUUUCCCAUCGGCAUAAAAUGUGAUUUAAGUCCCCCAACCCACUAGAGUCAAACCACUACUAAGUCGUUACAAGCUUGUACUAAGAAGAUCAUAAACGAAAGUUACUCUAUCCCCCUUGAACUCACGAAAAUUUGGAUACAAACUAGGAUUAGAUACCCUACUAUGCCAAAUAGUAAACUUUAACUUACACCUAAAUCGCCAGGGAAUUACGAGCUAAGCUUAAAACCCAAAGGACUUGACGGUGCCCCAUAUCCCCCUAGAGGAGCCUGUCCUAUAAUCGAUAACCCCCGUUCAACCUCACCACUUUUAGCCUAUCAGCUUGUAUACUUCCGUCGUCAGCUUACCGCAUGAGCGCCCCUAAAGUAAGCUCAAUGUUUAACCACCAAUACGUCAGGUCAAAGUGCAGCAAAUAAAGUGGGAAGAGAUGGGCUACACUCUCUAUAAUAGAAAAAACGAAAGACUAUGUGAAAUCUUAAUCCAAAGGCGGAUUUAGUAGUAAAAAGAAGGUAGAGUACCCUUUUUAACCCGGCACUGGGGUGUGUACACACCGCCCGUCACCCUCUUCAUUAAAUAAAAAUCCAGUAAAUAACAUGAUUCUCCCAAACAGAAGAGGUAAGUCGUAACAUGGUAAGUGUAUCGGAAGAUGUACUUGGAAACGAAAUAUAGCUUAACCAAAGCCUCUCGCUUACAA
rnacentral:ncRNA from 1 species